UGAACCCAUAAGUUUAUGUCU
rnacentral:piRNA from 1 species